GGGCUUCGGGGAGUGGGGGGUUGCCUUUAGCGGAGCGGUCUUUUCGACGCCGACGCCGAAGUAACCUGUGGAAUUGAGGGAACCCGGCCCCAGUGCGAGCCCUGAGUGAGGGGCGCUGAGCGGGAGAGCCCGGCAGCACUGAUUGCUGUGUGGCGGUGCCUGAAGCCCUCAGCAGAACCCCACAGAGGUGGGCUGGAGCCCUGCUCCCCAUAACGGCACUGCCAUAGUGCGUGCAGCCUCUAGGAGCAGCUGGGUGCGUUGAAAGACCAUCUCCAAGGUGUCUUGAAAACUAAUGGUGCAUGAGUCUACAUUAUGUCAUCAGUCUGGUAGGAUUGGGUGGAGACAUGACGGCCUUGGAAUGGUGAGUACUGACCUUUGAACACUGACAGAGGAUGAGUAAGGCUCCAUAAAGCAGGGAAUGUAUUUGGGCUUCUAAAUUACCAUGAUUUUCCAAUAUUUGAGAGAUCAAUGGAAGGUUAUAACUUUAUGUAUAACGCUGAAUUUGUACCACCUUAAGACUUAAAAAAUAAAGGCAAAGAAGACUUUGAGCAUUUUAGAUCAAAUUGCCUCAUUCCUUAAAUGAAAAAAAUAGAAGGAAAACAAUCAAAAUAUCUACUCUCAGGUACUUGCAAGAUAAUAAAGUGUUAUGAAACAGUUAACAUAAUAAUGUUGAAUCAACCCUUCCGACAGUCCAGCAGUCCUGGGCAGAUAGAGUAAAUCUCAACUUCAUAUGACCUGUGAUCUUGCCUCUUGUGUUUUUCCCACAAUUACCCAAGGAAAUGCAGUCCAGUCAGGACACCUCCACAGCCCCAAAUAGUUGGGAAGUUUCUCCUGUAGGGUGGUUCCUAAUGGCUGACGGUCACCCGAUACUAUGGAGGACAGGCAUCCUUGGCAGAAUGAGAAUUGGCCACAGGGUUGUGGUUAUAAUUAGAGACUUGUUAUUACAAAUUUAGUUAUGAACAUAGCUUAUAAUCUACAAUUUCUAGGGUCUAACAUAGCUUACAGUUGCACAGAAUUUCUAGAAUUCUCAGUUAUGUACACUUUCCAGUUACCUACAUCCUCUGUAGAUCUGGUCAAAUUCUUAACAACCAGCAUGUAAUACAAGAGUCACAACCCAGACUCAGGCUUUAAGUAGAAGAUCACGAGUCAAAGGCUCAAUCAGAUCUCAGAGGAAUACAACAGAGGUGUUCCUGGCCUCUGAAGGAUUCCAGGUUUUGCUGUCCAGCUGUGGCACCAAUCAAAGUCCCACUCAGGGUUUGCUGCUGAUUCAUUUUAUAGAGAGUGUUCUCUGUAUUUUCCUGUUCCAAGAUGGGUGUCACCACAUUCUGGCAACUCAGCAGCUGGGGCUUGGUAAUGCUUGUGGCCUUCUCAUCCUGUUAAAGGGUGUCCCUCCAUGCUGGCGCCGGAGAGGAGGAGAGAGAAGGGUGGAAGGUAAUAUAUGACCAGCCUCCUUAUGGAUAUUUACCUUAUUGUUGCUUAUGCUGGCUGUUAUCAAGGGGUACUAGUAUUAAACUCACAAGUUUGGUACUAUUCUGUAUCUUUACUGAAUGCCCAAAUCAUGAAAUGGCCAAAAUGUUUAGUAAAUUAUCAGACUAGGAGGGCUUGAAAGCCCACUAGGUAUCAGGAUUGUGUUAUGAUAUUCUUGUGCCAAGCCAAAGAAAUGAUCCCAAAUGCAUGAAAUGGCAGGCAAGAGAAAAUGCCUCUGGCUAUAAAUACAAGCUGAAGAACAGCUGGUUAAUCAGGAGUUUUGGGGUAAUCCUAGAUCACAAACUGAUGAACCAACCAGUAGGAAAAAGGAAAAAAAUCCAGUUAUGCUAAGAUGAAUACACAGGAGCAUUACACAUAAGAUCUAUGCAGUAAUCCUUUUGCUCCGCUGCUAGUAAGUGAGGAUGCUGUGUUGUUUCAUGCUGUUGUUUCAAUAAUUACAUGAACUCACUGAAAAUAGGCCAAAGUAUUAUCCAAACUUUAGAAGAUGUGAUUUUUGAUUUGAAGAAUUGCAGUUUUUAGGAGUUGUAUGGGAAAGAGGAAAACUGUCUUGAAAUAUACAAAUAAUGCUGGAAAGAUAACAAGAAUAGUUGUUUUCUUUGUCCUCUGUCACUGAAUCAUACGAUGUCUGAGGCUGAAAGGCCCUGGUGGUCCAACCCUCUGCUCAGAGCAGGGUCAGCUACAGGAGGCUGCCCAGGAGCGUGUCCAUGGAGCUCUGAGUAUCGCCAAAAAUGGGAACUGCACAACCUGCCUUGGCAAGCUGGGCCAGUCUUUGUCCACUCUCACAACAAAAAAAGUUUUUUCUUAUCUUUACGUAGAAUUUCUUGUAUUUCAGUUUAUGCCCUCUUGUCCUGUCACUGGGUAGCACUGAGAAGAGUCUGGCUCAGUCUUCUUUUCUCCCUCCCACCAGUCACAUACACACAUUGACAAUGUCAUCCUUGAGCCAUUUUUUUGGUUUUGUUUCUGUGGGGUUUUUUUGUUUGAGGCUAAUCAAUCCCAUCUUUUAUCCCAGAUAAGAAAGAAUGAGUAGAAUUGCAGGAAAAAUGAGUUAGAUUAGACAGAAAGUCGGUCUGGAUAAAUAAAUAUGGGAAUAGACUGCUCAGUGAAAUGAGCUGUGCUUGCACACACCACUACUGGUUUUUAAGAACAGCCAAAAUGGGCUGAAAGAUGAGAUUUCUGAGCUGCAUUAUGCAUGCAGCUGUUCUGCCGGCUGAUUUGAUUUGCCUCGAGCCUCUAUGUUAAUUAUGAUGACAAAGAUAAAACUUGCCAGCAAUCUUAAAAACAGAUGCUACUACCCUACCUUUAAUCAAACACAGCAUCCACAGACAAAUGCCACUGAACAGCACCAACUGUGGCCACAGCUUCGAUUCUUAAUCAGAGCAGCCAUUUAUCCUUUGGUUUUGUUCUGUUUGGAUUCAGCUGAGGGAAGAUAGAAUAGAAAGCACUCAUUUCUGUUGUAAAAGGCUUCCGAAAGGACCGGGCUGAAAACGUUUGCAUGCCGUAAGAAGGCAUUCAAGGCUUCCAAGCAAACCGGAUUCCGUUCCGCUCCGUUCCGCUCCGCGCUUUCCCGCGGCUCACAGUCGCCCCCUGCUGGCCGCCGCCGGCCGCUCGCUUCCCGGAGCGGCGUCACGCUGCUGGUGGGGUCACGCAUGGAGCUACGGCUGGAACGAGCAAAGUCCGUGUUUUCCAAGUGCGGCAAUAUAGCUGCUUCACCUGUUCCCGAGGAAGAUAAUUCUGCGCUUAGUAAUCGUGCCGCAAAAGCGCAUUUUCUUGAUGUAACUCUUGGCUGUACGGUGAGUGUUAAAUUCUCGUUCCUUCACAUCGUUUCUUCCACUGCCUGCGUUUUGCUGGGAUUAAGGUUGGUGGGAAACUUAUUUCUUGACUCAAGCCCAAGUAACUUCAGCUUUUAAAUUUGGAAGUUUUUUUAGAUCCUGGAUUUGCCAAGAGUGCCUGCUGCACAUAGCCCACUCCUAUCGUGUGCUAAAGUGACCAGAUGAACUAACACAGAAGUCAGGCUUUUCUUCCUCUAUCAUUUACACAAACACACUCACUUCUGUUCCAAUUCCUCACAACUUCGGCUAUGCAAUCCUUGAAACAGAAAGUACAAGGAAGAUCCUAAGCACAAAAAACUCCUUGGUUUUCCUGCCCCCGAGGGAGAAGAAUAUUACAGGAAAGAAUGCAUCAGGAGUGGACGACUAGUGAAUGAGGCUCUGCUUGGAUCCCAUCUGGAAACGGCUAUCAGUAUUACAUGGAGCUUGAAACAUGUUGCGUGCAAGUAGGGUUCUAAAAGCCUCAUUUGGAACCCAAAUCUGAAAGCAUCCUGUUUUGUUGUGUUUUUUUUUUUUAAUGCUAUAUGUUUCUAAGCUGUUUGUUUUAACUGGAACUGCAGGAACCCUAGGCUUCCAAUUGCAUGCAAACCUGCCCUAACCUGACACCUUUUAUGAGCUUAAAAAAAAAUAUCAGAGGAAUGUAGGCUUCUACCAGAGCCUGCCACCAAAGCGUGGAAACAUCCUGCCAACAUGUUUACUCACUGCUGUAAUGAACACAUGCAAGAUUAGAAAGUUUGUUUAGGUAUUACUGGAAACCUUUUUCCAUCACAAUCCUUUCAGCUGUUUCACAAGGACUGAGCAGGAAAUUCGGCCUUUGGGCUCAUGUGUAAGGUACGUGUAGUGGUGAGGGAAACUUACCAGCUGUAACCCAGGGAGCUGCCUACUGACUGCACUGUGGGUCACUACCAGACUAAGGUACAGGAACUUGCAAUGACAUGAACAACAGAGGGAAUUAAGAGUCACAGCCUAAAUUGGCUCUUUUGACAAUGUCAUGUAAUGUGCUUGGGAUAGUUUGCCUGCGUAUGGCACAACUGCAAUAUAAUUGCAAACAUCAAGAAAUGAGUAUGAAGACUUAGGUGGGUUGGGAUGGCCGUAACGUAAAUCUGAGGCAGGGGAGGAGCUGCAGCCCAGCGAUGCAGUCAAUUUCUCUGCUUUAUAAAACACAUCCUGUGAUUUCCUUCUCGUGUAUUGCUUCUUAGUGUAGUCAAGCACAAACUAUUUAAGGCAGGGAUUCACUGUGCAUGCAAUUCUAUGUUAUGUAAUAAUAAUGAUGUGUCUAAUUGCUAUUGUAAAAAAAAAAAGUAUAAUAAUAAUAAUAAUAAUGGCUAUGAUUUUUGCCUUCCAAAGUAGUGUGUAUUUUCUUUGAAGUAAUCAGGGACUUGUUGCUAGGCAGUUAAUAUUUAAGGUACCUUAAAUAUUUUAAUGCGUCUAUGCCUGCUGUUUCUAGGCACCAAUAUUUGUUUAUGUUAUCAUUAUACAACCCUUUCUACCUUAUAUCCUCUGUUCAGUCUAAUCUAAUGGAUCCAUACAGUGAAAUUUCAGUCACACUUUUUUUUUUUUUUCACAGAUAGAUUUACUUUGCUACUGAGAAUGAUAAAAUCCCUCUGAUGUAGAUUUGUUCUUUGUCAGGAUGUUUUGCACUAAUACCACUUAUUCUUUCUUUGCACAGUCCUCCUCCCAGGUGUGUUCUGUCUUUUGAUGGCUUGGUGUGUAGGCAUGUAGUAAUUUUAAUAAAGGUUUGAAUUUAAUGGUUGAGAAUCAAGAUUCAAGAUCACCUUUAAUUGCAGAUGUAAACUAGGAGUUGAAAUGCUGACUUUUUUGACUAAGCUCUAAAUUUUUAAGAAGUCUUCACAUGUAAUCUCUUCACAUGAUAAGACAAUGGGCCAAGAGAAACAGAGAGAUUUCAGGGUAGCAGGAGGGCAGUUGAAGAGGGCGAGGGUGAGGUAUAAGAUCUCAUCAGAAAUUACAACUAUGAGGGAAGAUCCUGGGGAGCAAGUAAGCACUAACAACUACUGAAAUACAUAACUAGGGGAAUGUGCUGCCACUACUUCAAUCCUUCGGAAGAAUCAUAGAAUCACAAGGUUGGAAAGGACCUACAAGAUCAUCUAGUCCAACCGUCCUCCCAUUACCAUUGCUACACAAGCUCUAAACCAUGUCUCGUAGCUUCUCAUCCAGACAGAAGUAAAAAUAUCAAAUCUUUUUGGCAGCUCUGCAACACUGCUUUAGAUUUUCCUUGGUUUCGUCUCAAUUUUAUUCAAAUAAGAUAGAAAAAUUCCUGCUGGGUAAAGUGUUCUUACAUACAAAAGUUAAGCUGCAAGCUGUGCACUUGGAGAGCCAUGAGACGUUGUCUCUUUGUAUUCUUUGCCUCAGAUCUAUAUGGGCUGCAGAAAAUAUCCAUUAUCUGCUCGCCAACCCUAUGGGAAAUACACCAAAAGAAUUAUUCCAAACCUUGCUCAUUUCUGCAAAGGAGGUGAGCUUUCCUGAAAGAAUAGAAAUGGAUGAGAACUCCAGAUGAUGAGAGGCAAUAAAUCAGGGCCUAAAGUAAUUCAUGUGAUGAUUUUGCAGACACAGUCUGUUCAUUACCAGGUAUCACAGAAAGUUCCAUACCACUUUGUUGCUAAAUUUGUUUUUUAGCAUAUUUCUUCUGUUGUUUUAAAACUAAGAUACCCCCCUCACUCCUUUAUUUGUAAAGGAUUUAAAAUUUGUGAAUGCAAUUGAACAGCCCUGCAGACAGAACCUCUGUGCAAUCAAUGUGUGUAAUUAAAGUAAUAGCACAUCGAAGUUCGUUA